AGGAAUUGACGGGGGCCCGCACAAGCGGAGGAACAUGUGGUUUAAUUCGAUGAUACGCGAGGAACCUUACCCGGGCUUGAAAGUUACUGACUAAUCUGGAAACAGGUUAUCCCUUCGGGGCAGGAAACUAGGUGCUGCAUGGUUGUCGUCAGCUCGUGCCGUGAGGUGUCGGGUUAAGUCCCAUAACGAGCGCAACCCUUGCUGUUAGUUGCCAUCAGGUCAAGCUGGGCACUCUAACGGGACUGCCGGUGCAAGCCGGAGGAAGGUGGGGAUGACGUCAAAUCAGCACGGCCCUUACGUCCGGGGCUACACACGUGUUACAAUGGUAGGUACAGAGGGCAGCUAGCCAGUGAUGGCAUGCGAAUCUCGAAAGCCUAUCUCAGUUCGGAUUGGAGGCUGAAACCCGCCUCCAUGAAGUUGGAUUCGCUAGUAAUCGCGCAUCAGCCAUGGCGCGGUGAAUACGUUCCCGGGCCUUGUACACACCGCCCGUCAAGCCAUGGGAGCCGGGGGUGCCUGAAGUUCGUUACCGCAAGGAUCGACCUAGGGCAAAACUGGUGACUGGGGCUAAGUCGUAACAAGGUAGCCGUACCGGAAGGUGCGGCUGGAACACCUCCUUUCUGGAGCUU
rnacentral:rRNA from 1 species